rnacentral:lncRNA from 1 species
UGCUAAGUCCAUUAUGCUUAUAUAGGUCUUCUAUCAUUUGAAUCUGAUCAUGUUUGAUGGUAUGAAUGCAAACUGGAUUGAAUAACUGAGGUCGCAUAAAUACCUUGAGUAUCUAGCUUGUUGGUUGGCUGUUGUGGUAUUGAUGAUUGAGAUGGGGAAUAACUGAAAUACAAUGAAGGUGUUAUUGCUUUAAAAUGCAGGUGGAGGUUAUGGCAGGAGGUGGAAACGUUCAAGCCGAAGCUUACCUUGAGGAUUUGGCGGAAGUUGGGCAGCUCUUUCUCUCCUGUUAAUGAAGUCUCAAAUGAACUGAAGCUUGUUCAAGUAUGGCAGCAGGGAAGUCGACGCUGCUGUGAGUGAAAGGGGAGUCUGUUGGCUGGAGUUGAAGUUAAUAGAGGAGGAUUGUUGGCUGCAUACUUGAGUAUGCUAGAGAAUAGGAAGAGGGGUAGAGUGGAGGUGAUUGGAGGAGUUGGGGCUGCUGGAGCAUGCUAAGGAAUAGGUGGUAGGGUGUAGGGAGAAGGGAAUUGGUGGAGUUGGGCGGCUGGCAGCUGGGCUGUUUCAGCCACACGCCUGCCCCCCAUCCUUUCUCUUUUUUUUUUUUUUCCUUUGCUUCCUUGUUGGCUGAUGGUGUUAAACAAAAGAAUGUGUUGCAUUUGAUGUGUAGUAAUGUGGGAUAUGAUUAAAGUAAAGCUCUUGUCUUUUGGGAAUUCUAAACUU